ACGAACGCUGGCGCCAUGCCUAACACCUGCAAGUCGAACGAGACCUUCGGGUCUAGUGGCGCACGGGUGCGUAACGCGUGGGAACCUGCCCUUAGGUUCGGAAUAACUCCCCGAAAGGGGUGCUAAUACCGGAUAAUGUCUUCGGACCAAAGAUUUAUCGCCUUUGGAUGGGCCCGCGUUGGAUUAGCUAGUUGGUAGGGUAAAAGCCUACCAAGGCGACGAUCCAUAGCUGGUCUGAGAGGAUGAUCAGCCACACUGGGACUGAGACACGGCCCAGACUCCUACGGGAGGAAGCAGUGGGGAAUAUUGGACAAUGGGCGAAAGCCUGAUCCAGCAAUGCCGCGUGAGUGAUGAAGGCCUUAGGGUUGUAAAGCUCUUUUACCCGGGAUGAUAAUGACAGUACCGGGAGAAUAAGCUCCGGCUAACUCCGUG
rnacentral:rRNA from 1 species